rnacentral:rRNA from 1 species
UACGUAGGGUGCAAGCGUUGUCCGGAAUUAUUGGGCGUAAAGGGCUCGUAGGCGGUUUGUCGCGUCGGGAGUGAAAUCCACUGGCUUAACUGGUGGCUUGCUUUCGAUACGGGCAGACUGGAGGUAUGCAGGGGAGAACGGAAUUCCUGGUGUAGCGGUGAAAUGCGCAGAUAUCAGGAGGAACACCGGUGGCGAAGGCGGGUCUCUGGACAGUUCCUGACGCUGAGGCACGAAGGUCAGGGGAGCAAACGGG